rnacentral:rRNA from 1 species
GACGAACGCUGGCGGCGUGCUUAACACAUGCAAGUCGAACGGAAAGGCCCUGCUUUUGUGGGGUGCUCGAGUGGCGAACGGGUGAGUAACACGUGAGUACCUGCCCUUGACUUUGGGAUAACUUCAGGAAACUGGGGCUAAUACCGGAUAGGAGCUCCUGCUGCAUGGUGGGGGUUGGAAAGUUUCGGCGGUUGGGGAUGGACUCGCGGCUUAUCAGCUUGUUGGUGGGGUAGUGGCUUACCAAGGCUUUGACGGGUAGCCGGCCUGAGAGGGUGACCGGCCACAUUGGGACUGAGAUACGGCCCAGACUCCUACGGGAGGCAGCAGUGGGGAAUAUUGCACAAUGGGCGGAAGCCUGAUGCAGCAACGCCGCGUGCGGGAUGACGGCCUUCGGGUGGUAAACCGCUUUCGCCUGUGACGAAGCGUGAGUGACGGUAAUGGGUAAAGAAGCACCGGCUAACUACGU